ensembl:lncRNA
CCUCUAGUAGUUCACCCUCCUGGUCCUCAGAGAGAGAGAUGUGUAUUGACCUCUCUAGUAGUUAACCCUCUUCGUCCUCAGAGAGAGAGAUGUGUAUUGACCUCUCUAGUAGUUCACCCUCCUCGUCCUCAGAGAGAGAGAAUGUGUAUUGACCUCUCUAGUAGGUCACCCUCUUCGUCCUCAGAGAGAGAGAUGUGUAUUGACCUCUCUAGUAGUUCACCCUCCUCGUCCUCAGAGAGAGAGAUGUGUAUUGACCUCUCUAGUAGUUCACCCUCCUCGUCCUCAGAGAGAGAGAGAUGUGUAUUGACCUCUCUAGUAGGUCACCCUCCUCGUCCUCAGAGAGAGAGAGAUGUGUAUUGACCUCUCUAGUAGGUCACCCUCCUCGUCCUCAGAGAGAGAGAGAUGUGUAUUGACCUCUCUAGUAGUUCACCCUCCUCGUCCUCAGAGAGAGAGAGAAAGAUGUGUAUUGACCUCUCUAGUAGUUCACCCUCCUCGUCCUCAGAGAGAGAGAGAGAUAGAUGUGUAUUGACCUCUCUAGUAGUUCACCCUCCUCAUCCUCAGAGAGAGAGAGAGAUGUGUAUUGACCUCUCUAGUAGGUCACCCUCCUCGUCCUCAGAGAGAGAGAGAUGUGUAUUGACCUCUCUAGUAGGUCACCCUCCUCGUCCUCAGAGAGAGAGAGAGAUGUGUAUUGACCUCUCUAGUAGGCCACCCUCCUCGUCCUCAGAGAGAGAGAGAUGUGUAUUGACCUCUCUAGUUGUUCACCCUCCUCAGAGAGAGAGAGAGAGAUGUCUCUCUGUCUCUGACCUCUCUAGUAGGUCACCCUCCUCGUCCUCAGAGAGAGAGAGAGAGAGAGAGAUAUGUGUAUUGACCUCUCUAGUAGUUCACCCUCUUCGUCCUCAGAGAGAGAGAGAGAGAGAGAGAGAGAGAGAUGUGUAUUGACCUCUCUAGUUGUUCACCCUCCUCAGAGAGAGAGAGAGAGAGAUGUCUCUCUGUCUCUGACCUCUCUAGUAGGUCACCCUCCUCGUCCUCAGAGAGAGAGAGAUGUGUAUUGACCUCUAGUAGUUCACCCUCCUCGUCCUCAGCUCAGUCUGUCUCCAGAACUGGGUCUUUAUCUUCAUCAUUCUGUACCUAAACAAGUCAUUUCCCUUCAUAACACACAAUAAUACACACACUAAUACACACACUAAUACACACAAUAAGUCAGUCAACAACAACAUACAGUCAACAACAACAUACAGUCAACAACAACAUACAGUCAACAACAACAUACAGUCAACAACAACAUACAGUCAACAACAACAUUCAGUCAACAACAACAUUCAGUCAACAACAACAUACAGUCAACAACAACAUACAGUCAACAACAACAUACAGUCAACAACAACAUUCAGUCAACAACAACAUUCAGUCAACAACAACAUACAGUCAACAACAACAUACAGUCAACAACAACAUUCAGUCAACAACAACAUACAGUCAACAACAACAUACAGUCAACAACAACAUACAGUCAACAACAACAUACAGUCAACAACAACAUACAGUCAACAACAACAUACAGUCAACAACAACAUACAGUCAACAACAACAUACAGUCAACAACAACCUUCAGUCAACAACAACAUACAGUCAACAACAACAUACAGUCAACAACAACAUACAGUCAACAACAACAUUCAGUCAACAACAACAUACAGUCAACAACAACAUACAGUCAACAACAACAUUCAGUCAACAACAAUAUAUACAUGUCUCUCUCUGUCUCUGUCUCUCUCUGUCUCUGUCUCUCUCUGUCUCUGUCUCUCUCUCUCUCUCUCUUUCUCUGUCUCUCUCUCUCUCUCUCCUCCUCGCUCUCUCUAUGUCUCUCUCUGUCUAUCUCUCUCUCUGUCUAUCUCUCUCUCUCUGUCUCCUCUCUCUGUCUCUGUC